AACAGAAUGUUCUGAAUUCGCGAUCGGGGAGUUUUGUCUGUUGUCGCGGCGUAAGGAGAAAUUGGUGUUUGUGAUGAGAUCGCUGAUAAUCACGGACGUGAAAGAUUGUUCCUUUAUUCUCUGUUUCGCUAGAUGGUUACAUGGAGUCGAGUGGGCAUCAAAUACUUGCGCUGCGGAUGAUUCAUGGUAAAAAAGUAUUAAGUUUUGGUUUCGCUUCCAACAGUUUUAUAGCGGCUGUGGAAAGUUUCGUGAAAGCCCGGCAAGUGUUUGAUAGAAUGUCUAUUAGAAGAAACAAUGGAACUUAAUGAUUUCGAUGUUGAGUUUUAGUGAAUGGUUAGAGAUAAGGAGAUCGAAGCAUUGAAUCUUGACAAUGUAGGUGUGCCUAGCUUUUCCAAGAAAAGUAUUAUUCAACAUCUUCGAAUAGGAUUUGUCUCUGGAUAUGUAAUGCACGGAGUCGUACUACAGAAGCUAUUUCCAAGUAUAUGAGCCAUUGUGCAUCCAAAUUUAGAUAACAUUCAUGAACCAUGACUAUCUUGUUGGAUUGACAAUCAGUGAUAUUUGGCAUUACAAAACUGCGAAACAAAAACCGCAAGAAACACUGACAAAAUACAGUAUACUGACAAAAUAUACAACUAUUCUAAAUUGUUAACUAUGCUAUCUUUGUGCUUCUUCUGACUCUCUUUCCCGUCGAUAAGUAACGUUUUCUUUGUCUACUACUCUCCCAACUCGUCUGUUUCUCCUGCUUCUUUUACUUAUACCUCUUUUGCCUUCUUUCUCAAUCACAGGCUCUGACAUUGGCACCAAGUGUAGGAAACACAAAGGUAACAAAGCUGCUAGAGACUGUAUGAGAAUCCCUGAAGGCAGGUUUGAAUAGUUACUUGAUGUUAUACCGAUCAGAUUAGCCAAUCCUACGCCUAAAAAUGCGCUAACUAUUUGUGAUAGACACAGAGUUGAUGCAAGAAAAGACGUGACUGACCCUUCACACCCCUGCGGACACAUACUGGCUAAUCGGACUGCAAAGGGAAGGAUCUUAAACUGUGCA
rnacentral:lncRNA from 1 species